AUACAGAGGGUGCAAGCGUUAAUCGGAUUUACUGGGCGUAAAGCGCGCGUAGGCGGCUAAUUAAGUCAAAUGUGAAAUCCCCGAGCUUAACUUGGGAAUUGCAUUCGAUACUGGUUAGCUAGAGUGUGGGAGAGGAUGGUAGAAUUCCAGGUGUAGCGGUGAAAUGCGUAGUGAUCUGGAGGAAUACCGAUGGCGAAGGCAGCCAUCUGGCCUAACACUGACGCUGAGGUGCGAAAGCAUGGGGAGCAAACAGGAUUAGAAACCCUAGUAGUCC
rnacentral:rRNA from 1 species